UACGUAGGCAGCGAGCGUUGUUCGGAGUUACUGGGCGUAAAGGGUGCGUAGGCGGUUUUCUAAGUUUGGUGUGAAAUCUCCCGGCUUAACUGGGAGGUGCACCGAAGACUGGAAGGCUUGAGUAUGGGAGAGGUAAGCGGAAUUCCAGGUGUAGCGGUGAAAUGCGUAGAUAUCUGGAGGAACACCGGUGGCGAAGGCGGCAUCCUGGACCAACACUGACACUGAAAAGCGAAAGCCAGGGGAGCAAACGGG
rnacentral:rRNA from 1 species